rnacentral:piRNA from 1 species
UGGUACUCUGCAAGAUCAUCGUGAAUU